rnacentral:rRNA from 1 species
UUGUAAAGCACUUUUGUCCGGAAAGAAAACCUUUGGGCUAAUACCCUGAGGGGAUGACGGUACCGGAAGAAUAAGCACCGGCUAACUACGUGCCAGCAGCCGCGGUAAUACGUAGGGUGCGAGCGUUAAUCGGAAUUACUGGGCGUAAAGCGUGCGCAGGCGGUUCGUUAAGACAGAUGUGAAAUCCCCGGGCUUAACCUGGGAACUGCAUUUGUGACUGGCGAGCUAGAGUAUGGCAGAGGGGGGUAGAAUUCCACGUGUAGCAGUGAAAUGCGUAGAGAUGUGGAGGAAUACCGAUGGCGAAGGCAGCCCCCUGGGCCAAUACUGACGCUCAUGCACG